rnacentral:rRNA from 1 species
AACGAACGCUGGCGGCAUGCCUAACACAUGCAAGUCGAACGCCCCGCAAGGGGAGUGGCGAACGGGUGAGUAACGCGUGGGAACCUACCCAGCAGUUGGGGAUAACCGCGGGAAACUGCGGCUAAUACCGAAUACGUCCUUCGGGAGAAAGAUUUAUCGCUGUUGGAGGGGCCCGCGUCGGAUUAGCUAGUUGGCGGGGUAACGGCCCACCAAGGCGACGAUCCGUAGCUGGUCUGAGCGGAUGAUCAGCCACACUGGGACUUAGACACGGCCCAGACUCCUACGGGAGGCAGCAGUGGGGAAUAUUGGACAAUGGGGGCAACCCUGCUCCAGCAAUGCCGCGUGAGUGAUGAAGGCCUUAGGGUUGUAAAGCUCUUUUGCCGGGGACGAUGAUGACGGUACCCGGAGAAUAAGCCCCGGCUAACUUCGUGCCAGCCGCCGCGGUAAGAC